GCUUGAGUGAGCGGCGGCGAGCUUGAGAACGCCAUGGCCGGCAGAUUUGACGAAGGAGCGGCUCCAAACAAAGUAGUUUCACUUUCACAAGGAAACACACAGCGCCUUCACGACAUGGCGGCGGCGGCAGCAACAAUACUACAGCGAGAAUAAAAGUUACGCCUUCUUUCUUUGCGUGAACAUUUGGGCGGUGUUAGAACGAUCCGUUUUAGGAGGGCGUGGUUGACUCUUAACUUUUAUAAAGAAUAUAUUUUUGGAUUUGAGACUUUAGUCUUUGCAACUUUACAGAUCUUCUUUAUGCACCAAAAGCUUGUAACACUCCAAAGAGAAAGGAAAAAUUGAAAUCGCAUCAUAUGACCCCUUUAAAGGUGUCUGCCAAAUGCAUAAAUGUAAAUGGUGUGCAAAUAACCUGCUCUCUGCUUGCAUUAUUACAGUCAGUGAACAGGGAUCUUAUUCAUGGUCUCUAAGAAGUUCAGCACGCGGUUCAGUUGUAUCACAAUCAGAAGCAGACAGUAGGUCAAUUUGUGGCUCAUCAAGUUCCAGAGAUUCAUCGCACACCUCAAGAUAUGAGACAGUGGUUCCGAAAAUAUGUAAUAGCAUGGAAUUUCCACCAAACAUGAGUGGAGAUAAGAGGUGGGACAUGAAGUCUAUAGGAAGUUCUGCUUAUGGUUCAUUUGGAUCACUAUCAGGAGCAGACAGCAGGAACAUUUUGGGAUUAUCACAUUCCAGAGAUUCAUCGCACACCUCAAUACAUGAUUCAGGGGACCUGAAAAUAUAUAACAGCAUGGAAUUACCUCCAAACUUGUGUGAAGAUGACAGGUCAGACGCAUUGUCUCUGGGAAGUUUAGCUCAUGGUUCAGUUGUAUCAGGAGCAGAAAGCAGGUCAUAUUUUGGAUCAUCACGUCCCAGAGAUUCAUGGCACACCUCAAAAUAUGAGUCAGGGGUCCUGAAAAUAUGUAACAGCAUGGAAUUACCAACAAACUUGAGUGGAGAUGAGAGGUGGGACACAAGGUCUAUGGGAAGUUCUGCUUACAGUUCAUCUGGAUCACUAUCAGGAGCAGACAUCGGUUCAGUUUUUAGCUCAUCACAAUCAAAAGUCUCAUCACACAGCUCAAAAUUUGGGUCUGUGGAACAUUUAGGGACCAAAAGAGCACAUUGUGUGCCCAAUGUCUCAAAACUUAAGCAUGAUGAGGACACUGAGAAGACUUGAAUACUAAAUUAAUGUGGUGACUGUAUAAUACUGACUUUGUAAUUUUUACAUCAUAAUGUAUCUGUCAGAUUCUGUUCCUUGUUUUGGGUGUGUUUUGCUCCCCAUGUGCCUUUCAUGCCCUUAUUUGGUCCUUCCUGUUCCUGUCCCCAUUUAGUUCUAUUAGUUCCAGGUGUUCCUUGUUAUUAGUUAUCCCCCUCCCCUGUCUGCCCCUCAAUAUCUGCCCUAUUUGAGUUCUAGCCCGUUCUGUUCUCCCUUGUCCGGAAUUGUAUAUGUCUACCCUUGCUACGUGUGUUUCCUUGUUCCCUGCAUGUUAUUAAAACCUAUAUGUUUGAAUUCCACUCCUCGUCUCCUCGCUCCUUUGUCUCCGGGCUCACUCAAGCCCGCUGGCUGUUCCCGAGUCAGGCCCGCCGGCCACCGCAAGGACAAGCACUUCACGGCCACCCAGUUCACCCGUAAUCAGAAGAGGAGAAAGAGGAGAAAUGACUGGCUCAGGGUCCUCUUCCGCGCCCGAGUACUCACUCCAGUGUCGGCUCCAGCCCCAGAGCUCCCUGCAGUGUCGGCUCCAGCCCCAGAGCUCGCUCCAGUGUCGGCUCCAGCCCCCGAAUCUAGCCCAGUGAGGGCUCCUGUCCCUGAGUUUAGCCCAUAGAGGGCUCCUGUUCCUGAGCUUAUCCCACGGAGGGCUCCUGUUCCUGAGUUUAGCCCGGUGAGGGCUCCUGUCCCCGAGUUUAGCCCGGUGAGGGCUCCUGUCCCCGAGUUUAGCCCAGUGAAGGCUCCUGUUCCCGAGUUUAGCCCACGGAGGGCUCCGGUUCCUGAGCUUAUCCCACGGAGGGCUCAUGUUCCUAUAUCUGGCCCACGGAGGGCCUCAGAGCCUGUAAUCUAGAGGGCCUGUAGAGGCCUCGGAGGCGGCUCUGCCAUGGCUUCCUAGUCUGCCUGCACCGCCAUGGCUUCCUGAACUGUCUGCUCUGCCAUGGCUUCCUAGUCUGCCUGCUCUGCCAUGGCCUCCUAAUCUGCCUGUUCCGCCAUGGCCUCCUGAACUGUCUGAUCCGCCAUGGCCCCCUGAACUGUCUGAUCUGCCAUGGCCCCCUGAACUGUCUGUUCUGCCAAGGCCUCCUGGACUACCUGCUCCGCCAUGGCGCCCCGAGCUGCCUGAUCUGCCAUGGUGCCCCGAACUGCCAGAUCCGCCAUGGGUCCUGGAACGGGUGCCGCCCUGGAGGCCUUCCGUCCUGGAACCCUGCUCCUAGAGGCCUCCAGAGCGCCCCCCCCCCCUCCCUGUUGGAUGUUGUACGGCGCGGGACGCACCUUCCGGGUGGGGGGAGUAAUGUCAGACUCUGUUCCUUGUUUUGUGUGCGUUUUGCUCCCCAUGUGCGUUCCUUGCCCUUAUUUGGUCCUUCCUGUUCCUGUCCCCAUUUAGUUCAAUUUGUCCGGAAUUGUAUAUGUCUACCCUUGCUAUGUGUGUUUCCUUGUUC
ensembl:lncRNA